rnacentral:rRNA from 1 species
AACGAACGCUGGCGGCAGGCUUAACACAUGCAAGUCGAGCGCCCCGCAAGGGGAGCGGCAGACGGGUGAGUAACACGUGGGAACGUACCUUUUGCUACGGAAUAGCUCCGGGAAACUGGAAUUAAUACCGUAUGUGCCCUUCGGGGGAAAGAUUUAUCGGCAAAAGAUCGGCCCGCGUCUGAUUAGCUGGUUGGUGGGGUAAUGGCCUACCAAGGCGACGAUCAGUAGCUGGUCUGAGAGGAUGAUCAGCCACACUGGGACUGAGACACGGCCCAGACUCCUACGGGAGGCAGCAGUGGGGAAUAUUGGACAAUGGGCGCAAGCCUGAUCCAGCCAUGCCGCGUGAGUGAUGAAGGCCUUAGGGUUGUAAAGCUCUUUCGUCAGGGAAGAUAAUGACGGUACCUGAAGAAGAAGCCCCGACUAACUUCGUGCCAGCCGCCGCCGUAA